CAUGUACACACUCAGACUUGCUCUUGCCCCCACUGGAGUCAGGGCGAACUGAUUCUCCUCCCAUUUACACUGAUCUAAAGCAGCAAUACCUGUGCCUUGAGACUCAUAGGCAGACUUGGAGCAGCCAGCAGCAUUCCAUAUGCACCAUCAGUGCCAAAUCCUGAGCAUAAAGUGGUGUGACUUUGUGUUAAUGCCCUAAUCUUGCAGAGAUCUGGCCUUCCUCCUAUUGCUCAGUCUAUUCAAAAGCAGCGUUGCAUGCUCUUUGGCCAUCAUAGCAGGUGUUUUAGGCCAUCCUGACAACAUCAUGCUCUCAAACUGUCUAUCAAUGCACAAACGGAUGCAUGACCUGACCCUACCUGGCGCCACCCAUGGGGUUGCCUGAGAGGUGCUUGGAUUCGCAAAAUUGCACCAGAUCUGGGAACUUCACUACACAAUGCCUGGUGCAAUGCCAUCAUUCAUGGUCACUCUGGCUGGUGCAAUUGUCCUCUGUAGAGCACAUGUGUUGAUGAAGAGGUCUGUUGAAAUCAUUUCAAACAUCAAGAGUUAAACUAAUGCAAAAUUAGGGGAAGUCAAAGAGGGGUUUUGCCACAGACUGCAAUGGCAACAGGAAGAGAAGGCUUACAUGUCACUUCCUUGUAACUUUGCAGGAAAGUGUAACUACUAUGUAAUUACAGGUUUAAUUAAGUAAAGUGUGUGUGUUAGCCAAGAAGUUGUUCUACUUAGGCUCUGUAAUACAGAAUGUAAUUUUCAGGUUAAAUCCCAUAAUAACUUUGAAGACAAUAACCAAAUAAUUACACCCUUAGAACUUAGCUUGUAAUUACGCAGCACGUGGCCAGUAUGUAAUUAUUGAGUUAUUACAUGGGUAUUUGUGUCAUGUAAAACAAAAUUGUAAUGACUGACCAUACAGCACAACCCUCCAUCCCAUCCCUACACUGGCCACUCCACUGUCAUGGAACAGCUAUGUGAUAUGGCUUGGGCAAAACUCGGCUGUCAUACAUAAGUGGACACAGCUCCACUGAAGUCCAGAGGCACAACAAGGUUUAAUUUGGCUCUGUGUACAAAUGCUCCUGGGGAUGCUGAGUAGCCUGUGAGGUGAGUCCCAGACAAACAAAUGGGAAAGCCUAUAUGCAAAAGAAGGCAGCAUACUGUUGGGAUGUCCUGUCUCUUUAAAUGUUUGAGCACUGCCCAGUGCAAAGCCUCAGUUUCAUGUUAGAUUCAGUUUUGCUGGAAAAUAAAUAAAGAGAGCACAGCAGAUGGCUGUGUUUCUGUCUGCUCCCUUUGUGUCUACAGCUCUCUCUUUCUCUGCUACCUCUAAAUGUAGCUAUGGCAUGAGCUGGUCCAAAGAGGGAUGGGACAAAAUGCAGCAAAGGAAGAGUUAGAAGUUUGCCCAAUAUUCAAACAGAGAGAUCAGUUUGAUGGGGGAUCAGUUUCUCCAAGGGAGGUUGUGGAAGACUGACCAGCUGAUUGAACAAAGCGCUAGAGCAGAAAUUGUAGGGAACAAUCCUGCAUUGGCAGGUGGAAGGAUUAGAUUACCCAACAGAUCUUUUACUUGAUUCUAGACUAGGCUUCUCAGGCUGUACUGAGGUGUGACUUCUGCCUGUUAAAAUGUUUAAUAUCUAGUAUGUACAUUUCCAGUGCCAUUUUAUUAUUACUCCUACUAUCCGAGGCCCCAACUGUGCCAUCUUUACCCAUGGUGAGUAGUACCUUACUACAUGAGUAGUCCCACUGAAAUCAAUGGGAUUGUGUGCAUAAUAAGUUACUACGCAUUGAGUAAGAGUGCCACAAGUAAGCCCUGAGUAAGUAUUUGUGUGUCUACAUUCAAAUCCUCGCUCUAACAUAGUGUUCUUUUGUCUAUAAUGAAACCACGAUGGCUUUAAUCCAAGUACAUAGACUGUUGCAUUUUCAUGGAGAAACAUAUCAUAGAAUCAUAGUAGUGUAGGACUGGAAGGAACCUCAAUAGGUCGUCUAGUCCAGUCCCCUGCACUCAAGGCAGGACUAAUAACAUGUAAUAACUAUGUGCUACAACGUCAUGACAGUUAACUGCACAUGCAGCUGGAUAUAGAAACAUGGGCAUAAAUCAGCAUAGCUCUAUUGAUUUCAGUGGAUCGAUGCUGACUCCCCCCAGAGGAGGAAUUGAACACUGUACUGAAGGCAUGGCAAGGCAAGGACCUCAGGUAUAUUUUUGCUGAUUGCCAAUGCAACUCCUGCUGCGUGAUGUCUUCACAGGGGUUAGUGAUAUGGUGCUGGGGACUUAAGUCAUUCAAAAUAUAUAGAGCUUUCAAAAUACGCUAGCAGAAUAAAAAAGCCUCUGUGGCCACUUUCCAUACUAGCAUUCAAGAGCAGGGAGGUAUACAGUUAGCUGAUUUUCACUAGUUAUUAGAUGUCAAGGCAUCCCUCCCUGCCCCAACAAAAUAUUGUUGUGAUUUCAAGUACUAAUGUAAAGUACAUGCUACACUGUGUGUGUGUAUGUGUGUGUGUGUGUGUGUGUGUGUGUGAUAAAUAACAAUAACUCUGGGGACUGUAAGGGAUUUGAAGGCAGGUGGAUGCAGCCUUAGUGCAAGGACUGCUUUAUUGUGUGACAAGAGGGUUUUAGUAAGGGUGGGGACUAUAUCUCACUAUUUUAGUUAUACUAAGUUCCUGCAAUUAUAACUGUUGCUUAAGAAAAAGAAUAAGCAUCGGGCAAAAGGUUGGCUGCUCAAGGCAACCCCCCCAGAAAAGAACUGGGAGGAAUGACAGAGUCUAUUGGUGAGUAAUGCCUUGGGACAGAUUUUGGAGGCAAAGUUUAUAUAAGACCAUCUCAUAGAAAUCAUAGUAGUAUUUAGUCCUUUCAUCUUCCAAGUGCUGUGCAAACAUUUAUUAGUGAAUCCUUGCAACUCUUCUGUGUGGCAGAUAAGGAUUAGAGCCAAUUUAAAUUUGAGAGGCUGAGGCAGACAGGUUAAGUGAUUAGCCCAGAGACACAGAGGGAGCUGUGGGAACAGAACAUUCCUGAGCUCAACCUACUUGGACUCUACCAUGUUUGUGUUUAAAUGCAUUAUUACGACACUUAGGAAGCUAUUAUGUUUAUAAUAGUUUAGUCCAAGUUAAUUUAAAUCCAACUAUUUACUUUACCCUGAUGUAUUUUACACUGGAAACCCCAUACAGUAUCCGCAAUUCUAUACAAAGGGAAGAAAAGUCUAAGAGAACAUGCAUGGCUAAAAAGGAUCUGAUAUCCAGUCAACAUAGAAACCAUGAAAGAUGCUUCCUGGCUGGCCCUCUGAGGUGGUUUUGAAGAGGAUCAGAUGCCCAAAGGAGACUGACUCCCUUUAGGGCAUUGUGUAUUAAAUUAAUUCUCCCUUCACUUGCUGUCUUCCCCAUCAGAUCCAUCUUUGUUUUGUUAUGCAAAGCUGUGGGAAGUACCCAGCUUGGGUCUAAUUUUCACAGUGCAUUUGUGCAUGCUUAAUAGUGAGCCUCCUUUAGGUACAAAUGAUCUGACUGGUCAGUGCAAAAUGAGAUUUGAUACACCUGCACGUGACUCAUUAGGUCUCCAGCCAUACAAGUAUGCAAAUUUUCAUAUUGUGUAUGCAUUCAUCCAUGUGUGUGUGCAAAGCAGAAUUGCAUAGGUACAAAUAUGAGAGUGAAAUGGGACCACAUUGGGUCAAUUGUUUCUUGAGGUAGGCUGUUGGGUGGUGUAUUUUUUUCUACCCCAAUUUGCUCUGGUUUUAAAUCUCUAUAUUCAAACGGAUUUUUAAAAGUGUUCAUUACAGACUCCUGUAUUAACCAGGGCGAAAUCCGGCAGUCUUUAUUGACAACUUUCUCAAGCAAAAUCUCCCAUGAAGUUCAUUGGAAAUUUUGCCUGAAUGAAUUCUGAGUCAGGACCACAGGAUUCAGCCCCUGGAGAUCAAUCCAUGCUGAUUACAUGACACACACAUCAUUUGCUAUACUGUGUAAAACAAACAAACAAACA